ACAAACAUGUUCAAGCAUCUCAGCAACUACAAGAUGUUAAGUUGAGCAGUAGCUUGUGCACCACAGAAUCUGUCCCUCUCCUCUCUAUUUUCUCCACAAGAUGUUUAGUUGAGCAGCGACUUGUACUCUCGUGUUGUCUAGCCAGGAACAAAAAUUCAGCACGAGAAAACAGAAAUGCACGAACGUGACUGUAGAUUAUAUAAGUAAACUGCAGCAAUUUCACCAACAUUAAUCAUACGGAAUCUGGAUAUAAUUGACGUACUUAUGUCUGGUUAUACUACAGAGGAAAGUUCGGACACAUCAAAGAAGAGCACAAUUAAUGCAGGGUAAUUAUAUAGCCCCCAUUAUUACUAAUACGGUCGAUCUAUCCCUCCAAUUAACGGCUGAAGUAAUCGGUUGCCCUGCUCAUCAGUCAUCACUCAUAAGUCCUCUGCUCACCUCCCAUCAGUAGACGAGGUUGCCCCCCGCGAAGAGGGAGACAGAAACACUGCAGCACGGGGUGGCGAAGAGGGAUCGUGGCAGGUCGGCCGAGAUGAGGAAGCGGAAGGUGACGACGUGCAUGUAGAGGCCGACGAUGGUGAGCGCGAGCGCGAGGACGGCGAGGGCGCUACGGACCCAGGGGCGGCGGCACGGGAGCAGCAGCGCCAGAGCCGCCGCGGCAGGCUGGAGCGCGGCGCAGCACAGCAUCCUGACCCAGAGGGCGCUCAGCUCGGCCUUCUGCGCGCCCGUCAGCGCCACGCACUGCAGGACGACGAACACGUAUCAUUCCGACUUGGUGCAUGCAUGAUGAACCGAUCGGAGAUUCAGAAUGUCCAGUAUGCAAGAUUGCAAGGGGUCCUAGUUAGUCGCGUACCUCGCUGCAGCUAGCGUCGUAGUGGGUGAGUGCGUAGGCGAGCGCCGGGCUCAAGACGGUG
rnacentral:lncRNA from 1 species